CCUACGGGGGGCAGCAGUGAGGAAUAUUGGUCAAUGGACGAGAGUCUGAACCAGCCAAGUAGCGUGAAGGAUGACUGCCCUAUGGGUUGUAAACUUCUUUUAUAUGGGAAUAAAAUGUUCCACGUGUGGGAUUUUGUAUGUACCAUAUGAAUAAGGAUCGGCUAACUCCGUGCCAGCAGCCGCGGUAAUACGGAGGACCCGAGCGUUAUCCGGAUUUAUUGGGUUUAAAGGGAGCGUAGGUGGAUUGUUAAGUCAGUUGUGAAAGUUUGCGGCUCAACCGUAAAAUUGCAGUUGAAACUGGCAGUCUUGAGUACAGUAGAGGUGGGCGGAAUUCGUGGUGUAGCGGUGAAAUGCUUAGAUAUCACGAAGAACUCCGAUUGCGAAGGCAGUUCACUGGACUGCAACUGACACUGAGGCUCGAAAGUGUGGGUAUCAAACAGGAUUAGAUACCCCAGUAGUC
rnacentral:rRNA from 1 species